GCAUUUUUUGGUGGACGGAGACGCAUUGGACAGCAGCAAUUUCAUAUUAGGCAGCAGUCGACCUGCCUGUCCUACUGUAGCUGCUUCGGUCGCCUGUACACCACUCGUGUACCGGAUAGAUGUCAAAGUGCAAAGUUCAAACGGCGAUAGACCUAUAUCAGGCCCUAUCCUUGCCAAUGGUGGCUCCAUGCAAAAAAAACUCUCGCUCCUGGGAUCCUAUCCGGCAUUUGGAACGGCAUGCGUAGCUUGGUCAAGGAAGAAAAAGGGAUCAAAUCAGCGCCAACAUGAUCCCAAAGCGCGUUCUGUGUACAAGUGGAGCUCUCAUACGCAUCCAGUCCCAAACCUCACAUCUCACACUUGUCCAGCCAUCUCGGCUUUUACUUUGUUCUAGCCAGCAAGAUCAGUACAGAGUCAGAACCAAGUAGGUAGCGAGAUCAGCGACAACCGAAGAGUAUUGCUCUUAUUACUCGAAGAACGUUGCGGAGCUAACACUAAUCACGAGAGAUCAUCUUCUGCUGCGAAGUCUGCUUCCCGAGUCGUAUCAUAUCGUGGAGGUGCUGUUGGCGUUGGUCUCAUCAUGGCAACAAGAGCCUCCCAAGUAUUGCUGCUGACAAGCACUCUCAUGCUGACAUGCUGGACUGGUUUGAGCAUGGCAUUCAGCACAGGCGCUCCGGCUAGCACUUGCUCAAGCAUGGCCCCCACGCACGGCGGUAGUAAAUCCCAGGCGGGUAGCCAAGGGUGCAUGCUCGCUUUCUCUGGCAGCGUGCAGGAAGGACGGUCUCAGACAUUAUCACUAACCUGCGGUGGCAAUCCGUUCAAGGGAUUCAUAGUCCAGUGUCGCACUGGAGACGAGAAUGGUGCUGCAGUGGGAGAGUUCACAGCGGCUGGCACACACACUGCCCGCAGAAGUUGCAAUGCUGGGCAGA